GUGUACGUGAUACCGGUGAUACAAUGGCUAUAUCAACAAUAGUUCAAAUUGCCGAUGUCCAAAAUAAGCAUUUAGAUACAUUUGAGAGAAAACGAAACGAAAAUAACAUCGUGAAACAAACAAAGUGGGCACUUAGCUGAUUCACUGACUGGUGUGUCGAGAAAGGGAUAUAUUGUGAGUUUGGGAAUACAAAAAAAAUGGAGCUGAACGUUAUUCUACGGGAGUUGUAUUUGUUCAGUGAGAAACACGAAUGCCGAAGAAUAUGGGAUUAGCAGCUAACGUUAUGCUGGACUCGGAGCUGGUUUGAACAUAUCAACGACCCCUUCUCGGUUUGGCAUGGAAUAUACAGAAGGACACCGAAUUCACAACGUGCAAUCAUGUGUCUGUCGGCGUAAUAAAAAGUCUAGGGAAGAGCGGCGCGAUAAAGCUGAACGGCUACGUAUGGUACACAAAAGAGCCGAUGGCAGUACUAUUCUCUCUGACUACACAGCAGCAGCUGCCCCAGUUAAAUGAACGGCAUCCAUUCCCAGCAGCGUGGAGUCAACAAACGAACAACAUUGGCAAGCCAACAACAAACGAUAACACGGGACAUUUUUUUUUCUCUCACUUGUACACAAUAAAUGGCAACAUUCAGAUCAACAUGAAUAAAUAAUUGGCAUGUUUUAGUCACUCUAGAAGUAGCGCUAAUGCUCGUUUUUUCCCCCAUACAUUUAAUGUAAGCUUGCUAGCUAGCCUGUGGUUGUCUAGUAACCAGUCUAGCAACGAGACUUUUAUCCAGAAUACUUUUUCAUGGCGGAAUGUAUGUAUUUAUUUAUUAAAGCAACAUUUGCAAUGUAA